GGGGCCGGCCCCCCGGAAAUUUGAAAGGGCCGCAGUAUCUUAACCUGUGCAAAGGUAGCAUAAUCAUUAGUUUUUUAAUUGGAAGCUGGAAUGAAAGGUUUGAUGAGAAAUUAGCUGUUUCAAUUUUAAUUUUUUAAAAUUUUAUUUUUAAGUUAAAAAGCUUAAAUAAUUAUAAAAGACGAGAAGACCCUAUAGAGUUUUAUUAUUAUUAUUAUAUUAAAUAUAAAGAAUUAUAUUAUUUAUUAUUUUAUAAUAAUUUAAUUGGGGUGAUUGGAAAAUUUAAAUAACUUUUCUUAUAUAAAAUCAUUAAUUUAUGAAUAAUUGAUCCAUUUAAAUGAUUAUAAGAGU
rnacentral:rRNA from 1 species